GUAAUUAGUAACUGAGCUUGGAGACACCUGCCUAGGAUUUGCUUUGGACCGGAGUUCGAUUCUCCGCACCUCCACCA
rnacentral:tmRNA from 1 species